CAACUGUCGGGUGGGGAUGUGUGGUAAAUAACAUGGGUGUCUCUACUCUUCCUUACUGGGUCAAAAUAAUUUGUAGUGCUGCAACAGAGAGACGAUGAAGGCUGCAAGACACAGUUAUAUUCACAGUUUGAACUGACUUGGAAAGGAAAGAUCAACAAGCCGAAAAUUCCAUGAUAUAUUCCAUGCUUUGUUGCCGAAGCCCAUCGACUGAUCACUGGGCAGUGGACAGUAGGUAACCAACCAUGAAGUGAAUGAAUUGCCAACUCCUGCCCCCAAAGACAUUGGGGAAUAUCUCUUGAGGAAACAAAGUCCAUUUGAUGGGAAGCUAGCCAACAACAGGCAGGAGAUAUCAGGAACGCCCAUUACAGACAAACCAGGAACAGAAGUGGCAGAUUAGUAAUCCAGAGUUCUAGGUUAAGGUUUGGGUCUUGUGUUCAAAUCCCACCAUGGCUGGAGUUUAAUUUCAAUUAAUAAAAUCUAAGAAUAAAUUAAAUCUAGGAUUGAAAUUUGUCUUCAUUAAUAAUGUCAUGAUACUGUUAGAGAAACCUAGCUGGUUCACUAAUGUCCUUUACAGAGGGCAAUCUGUCCCACAUGUGAUUCCUAACUGCAACACUCGAGCAAUUAAGGAAUUGGCAACAAAAGUUGACCUUGUCAUUGAUGCUUACAUCCCAAGAUGGAAUUAAAUAAACUGUCAUUCAUGAUUACUUUACAACCAAUGAAGUAUGUUUGUAGUCACCAAUGUAAUCUAGAAAACACACAGCCCACACAGAAAGCUCCCACAAACAUCUUUGAGGCCAUAGCAUGAUAAAUACCUGUAUUCAUGAUGGAUCCUAUUCCUUAACCUCAUUCCUUUUAUUCCUCUCGUACUGAUGAUCCAUUACUCUUGGUCUUAAACAUAUUUAAUUAUUGAACAUCAGCAGCUCUCUGGGAAAAAAAAAUUGAAAGAAUAACAACCCUCUGUCUGAGAAGAAAAGAAAGUUCUUCAGUAAAUCCUGAGAAUAUGACCUCACGACUGUCGAUUCUCCAGGCAUGGGAAACAGCUUCUCAACAUUUAUCCAGUCAAGCACUUGAAGAAUUUUCAAUGCGUCAACCACUUUGCAUUUUUCUACAAGUUAGUGCUUCAUUCAAAAGCUAGCACCUCCAACAGUGCAGUCCCUUGGUACUGCAUAAUCAAGGGAAGGCCCUUGUGAUUUUGUUGACAUAUGGGAAGGCAACAAGUAGACAUCCAGAUGUGUUCAUGUCAUAUGCAGCAGAAAAUAGCAUCUCUCCAUGAUGUGACCCCUGCUUAGAUUCAGUCUCCUGAGAGACAUUUUCCUUGGUAACUCUCUCCCGGGUUGCGUGAAUCUGUCAUGGUUUCUAUAGAAUCCAUCUACCAGGCCUGCUGUCAAGGAGAGUCCGCCACAUUCUCAGAGAUCCAUC